GAUGAACGCUGGCGGCGUGCCUAAUACAUGCGAGUCGAGCGAACAGACGAGGAGCUUGCUCCUCUGACGUUAGCGGCGGACGGGUGAGUAACACGUGGAUAACCUACCUAUAAGACUGGGAUAACUUCGGGAAACCGGAGCUAAUACCGGAUAAUAUAUUGAACCGCAUGGUUCAAUAGUGAAAGACGGUUUUGCUGUCACUUAUAGAUGGAUCCGCGCCGCAUUAGCUAGUUGGUAAGGUAACGGCUUACCAAGGCAACGAUGCGUAGCCGACCUGAGAGGGUGAUCGGCCACACUGGAACUGAGACACGGUCCAGACUCCUACGGGAGGCAGCAGUAGGGAAUCUUCCGCAAUGGGCGAAAGCAUGACGGAGCAACGCCGCGUGAGUGAUGAAGGUCUUCGGAUCGUAAAACUCUGUUAUUAGGGAAGAACAAAUGUGUAAGUAACUAUGCACGUCUUGACGGUACCUAAUCAGAAAGCCACGGCUAACUACGUG
rnacentral:rRNA from 1 species